rnacentral:rRNA from 1 species
UACAGAGGUCUCAAGCGUUGUUCGGAUUCAUUGGGCGUAAAGGGUGCGUAGGCGGCGGGGCAAGUCGGCUGUGAAAUCUCAGGGCUCAACCCUGAAACUGCAUUCGAUACUGCCUUGCUCGAGGACUGGAGAGGAGAUUGGAAUUCACGGUGUAGCAGUGAAAUGCGUAGAUAUCUGGAGGAACAUCAGUGGCGAAGGCGACACCCUGGACUGAUACUGACACUGAGGUGCGAAAGCGUGGGGAGCAAACAGG